UUGCAAUGAUGACCACUUAGGACACCUUUGGAUUAACAAUGAAAACAUACAAUGUAACUGAGCAAU